rnacentral:misc_RNA from 1 species
GAUGAAGAACGUAGCGAAAUGCGAUACUUGGUGUGAAUUGCAGAAUCCCGUGAACCAUCGAGUCUUUGAACGCAAGUUGCGCCUCAAGCCAUUAGGUUGAGGGCACGUCUGCCUGGGCGUCACAUAUCGUUGCCUGAUGCCAGUUUCCUCGUGAUGGGUGACUGUGCAGGGCGAAUGAUGGCUUCCCGUGAGCAUUGUUGCCUCAUGGUUGGUUGAAAAUUGAGUCCUUGGUAGGGAGCGCCGUGAUAGAUGGUGGUUGAGUGACGAACGAGACCCAAUCAUGUGAGACCCCUACCGAAUUUGGCCUUCAUGACCCACAUGCGUCUUUGGAACGCUCAUGACGAGACCUAGGUCAGGCGGGGCUACCCGCUGAGUUUAAGCAUAUCAAUAAGCGGAGGA